rnacentral:rRNA from 1 species
AUGAUGCAACAAAUUUGGUCCGUUGAUCAAGCACAAGCUCUAGCCUUAAAGGCCAAGAGGUUUGUGAGGACAAGAAAGGCAACUAAAGCUCCAUAUCCUCCAUAUCCUCAUACCGAAGGCUCGUCUAGGAGUCAGCCUAAUAGAGUGGAAGAAAAGACGGCUCCACCAAAGGCAAAACGACCCAUCCAGAAGCAAACUAGAGGCAAGGGCAAGUCCAAUGAAGGCCCAAAAUGCUAUAAAUGUGGUGAAGAGGGACACAUAUCCAGCGGCUGCCCACUAAGGAAAUUUGUUAACACAACUAUCCAUGAUGGUGAAGGCGAUGAGGAAGAAUACGUAUCUGAGGAUGUAGAGGGACAAGAGGUCUGUCAAGAAGAACGUGAAGAGGUGGUAUGUGUUAUUCAGCGUCUCCUAUGUUCCACACCACAACCUGACAACACACAAAGGAAGAAAAUAUUUGAGAGCAAAUGCACAGUGAAUGGCAAGGUAUGCAAGUUAGUGAUUGAUAAUUGCAGCUGCGAGAAUCUUAUCUCCCAGAAGUUGGUGAGCCAUUUAAAGCUUGAUACUCAUGAUCAUCCAAACCCCUACACUAUUGGGUGGAUCAAGAAAGGAGUGAAUAUGAGGAUCACCAAACAAUGCAACCUGCCACUUUCCUUGGGCAAGCAUUAUCGCUCAAAUGUGUUGCAUGACGUAGUUGAUAUGGACGCUAGCCAUGUUCUUCUUGGGAGACCUUGA